rnacentral:rRNA from 1 species
ACAGAGGGUGCAAGCGUUAAUCGGAUUUACUGGGCGUAAAGCGUGCGUAGGCGGUUCAGUAUGUCGGUCGUGAAAUCCCCGGGCUUAACCUGGGAACUGCAUUUGGGACUGCAAGGCUUGAGUGCGGCAGAGGAGACUGGAAUUCCUGGUGUAGCAGUGAAAUGCGUAGAUAUCAGGAGGAAUACCGAUGGCGAAGGCAGGUCUCUGGGCUGACACCGACGCUCAUGCACGAAAGCGUGGGGAGCAAACAGGA